rnacentral:rRNA from 1 species
CCUGCUUCAGGAUGGGGACAACAGACGGAAACGACUGCUAAUGCCGAAUAAGUUCCAAGAGCCGCAUGGCCCAUGGAAGAAAAGGUGGCCUCUACCUGUAAGCUAUCGCCUGAAGAGGGGUUUGCGUCUGAUUAGCUGGUUGGAGGGGUAACGGCCCACCAAGGCGACGAUCAAUAGCCGGUCUGAGAGGAUGAACGGCCACACUGGAACUGAGACACGGUCCAGACUCCUACGGGAGGCAGCAUG